GGUAGUCCACGCCGUAAACGAUGUCGACUUGGAGGUUGUGCCCUUGAGGCGUGGCUUCCGGAGCUAACGCGUUAAGUCGACCGCCUGGGGAGUACGGCCGCAAGGUUAAAACUCAAAUGAAUUGACGGGGGCCCGCACAAGCGGUGGAGCAUGUGGUUUAAUUCGAUGCAACGCGAAGAACCUUACCUACUCUUGACAUCCAGAGAACUUAGCAGAGAUGCUUUGGUGCCUUCGGGAACUCUGAGACAGGUGCUGCAUGGCUGUCGUCAGCUCGUGUUGUGAAAUGUUGGGUUAAGUCCCGCAACGAGCGCAACCCUUAUCCUUUGUUGCCAGCGGUUAGGCCGGGAACUCAAAGGAGACUGCCAGUGAUAAACUGGAGGAAGGUGGGGAUGACGUCAAGUCAUCAUGGCCCUUACGAGUAGGGCUACACACGUGCUACAAUGGCGCAUACAAAGAGAAGCGACCUCGCGAGAGCAAGCGGACCUCAUAAAGUGCGUCGUAGUCCGGAUUGGAGUCUGCAACUCGACUCCAUGAAGUCGGAAUCGCUAGUAAUCGUAGAUCAGAAUGCUACGGUGAGUACGUUCCCGGGCCUUGUACACACCGCCCGUCACACCAUGGGAGUGGGUUGCAAAAGAAGUAGGUAGCUUAACCUUCGGGAGGGCGCUUACCACUUUGUGAUUCAUGACUGGGGUGAAGUCGUAACAAGGUAACCGUAGGGGAACCUGC
rnacentral:rRNA from 1 species